rnacentral:rRNA from 1 species
UCGAGAAUCAUUCGCAAUGGGCGAAAGCCUGACGAUGCGACGCCGUGUGAGCGAAGAAGGCCCUCGGGUUGUAAAGCUCUUUCGCUUGGGAACAAGAAAGACUAUGGAAUAUAUAGUCGAUUUGAGCGUACCAGGUAAAGAAGCACCGGCUAACUCCGUGCCAGCAGCUGCGGUAAUACGGAGGGUGCAAGCAUUAAUCGGAUUUAUUGGGCGUAAAGGGCGCGUAGGUGGGAAGGGAAGUCAUAUGUGAAAUCCCGAAGCUCAACUUCGGAACUGCAUGUGAAACUCCCAUUCUUGAGGGUAGGCGGAGAAAAUAGAAUUCCACAAGUAGCGGUGAAAUGCGUAGAUAUGUGGAAGAAUACCUGUGGCGAAAGCGAUUUUCUAGCUUAUUCCUGACACUGAGGCGCGAAAGCAAGGGGAUCAAACAGGAUUAGAUACCCCUGUAGUCC